rnacentral:lncRNA from 1 species
AUACUUUGUUGCCUAGCUAACCAGCAGCUAUAUAUAGCUACUUUUAUUUGCUUAAACAAUGGCACAUUCCUCAUAUUGUUCGUUAAUAUUUCCUUCCAAUUGUCCACCAACUCACCUUCGUCAACUGACCCAGAUGGCAAUGCAACUGCGCACCUUCUGCUUCAUUGUCCAUGAGCUUCCCCAUGUACCAUAAGGAAAGUCUGCAAAAAUCUUUUCCUUUAUAUAUCUUUUCAAUGGAAUAUUAUUUUAUAUCAAAUGCUCAGAUCAAUAUGUCUUCUGGUUCAUCAUCAAAUAAGUAGAAGAAUUUACUUUCCUAUAUGGUAUAUGGGGAAAUACGUGUACAGUAAGGCAGAGGGCAGUUAAUGGCGAUGGCAUUGCCGUUUCGCACAGUUAAUAAAGGUUAGCUGGGAUUUGGAGAUAAAGAAACAGCAAAACACAGCUUCUCCUUCCUUCUUUCGAUAGUAAUGACAACAGUCUUGUAUUUGUAUAUUCACUCUUUCCUAAAAUAUUUUUUCUGAGUAAGAAAGAAAACCCAAUUCUCAAAUAUAUAAACAAAUGACAAAUAAGUUUUAAACAAAGUUUUUUUUAAUUAUUAUUUUCUUCUUCUUUAUCUAAAAUGGAUUACAAAUUUCUUAUUAGAAAUUAAAUACAAGUGAAAUAAAAAUGUUUUUAUGACAUGCAAAAUUUUUCAAGAAUUGAAAUAAAAAUAAAUUUAUAAUUACAAGUAUUUUAAAAUGCAGUAUGCUAGACAGUGGCAGCUCAAUGUGGUAGGCUACUAAAGUAAAUAUUUAGAGCACCUGGAAUAUAAGGAUUCCUUACUAAUAAAGGCUUUAUACAUUAUAGCCUAAAAAAUAAAAAUUACUCUUGCAAUAUUAAAGUUGACAUAAUAAAAUAUAAAAUUUUUGAUUAAUGAAACGCCUAUGAAAUAAAAACAUUCUAAAAUUAGAUUAGGAAAGUAAAAUUUUAAAAAUUAAAACUUCAGCUAGUGAUAAUACUAUUUUAAUUAACUCUAUUAUUUUUAUCAUAUCCUUUUUUAGAUAAUAACGCCAAUAUAUAAAUAGUUAUUCUUUUGUUAAAAAAGAAUCUCAUAAUUUUCUAUUUUAUUACUAAUUAAUUUAAAUUCUUUUAGAAAAAGAAGUUCAAAUUUUUUUAAAUAAUAGCAUAAAAUUUUUUAGUUCUCACAAGUUACACUGUCUUUUAAAAUAAAAUUAUUUAAUAUUUAAUAAAUUAAUUUAUUUUUAUUUUAAAAGUUAAAUAUCUCAUUUUUAUAAUUUGCCUAAAACCGUCAUAAAUAUUUAAACCACACUUGAUGGUAGAGUUAAAGGUAUCAUGUAUUUUUAAUAUCUUGAAUGAAUUUCUAAUUUUAGUUGGUAUAUUUAUUAUUUCAUAAGAGAUGUACACAUACUUAACACAAAGUUAAACCUUAUUUCUUAGUUGUUUUUUUCGGAUUAUGAUUAUUUAAUGAAGUAAACCAAACUGGUGUUGUAAUCAUAACGAUAAUCAUUGGCUUUGGCCUUUCUCUUCUUAAUAUUUAGAUGGGUUUAUCUCAUUAAAUUAGUUUUUUUUUUUGUUGUUAAUUAAGGUUGAAUUUUCUCUAGUUUUAAUAAAAUCAAUAUCUUGCUUAUAAUAAAAUCAUAAUUAACAAGUAAUGAAUUUAUGUACUUGUAUUCCUGUAAGCAUGCAAGAGAAACAGAUUUUAAAGGCACAAAUGAUCAAAUACCCCUUAAAUUUGUAACUCGGGAUUAAACGAGUCUAAUUUCAAUUAUUUUAGCAAUUAGACCCGUUACUUCUAUUUAAAAGUUAAACAGAUUCAAAUUUGUACUAAAACUGAUAAAAUUGAUAGUAACAGUAUUGAUGAUGGUUUCAAAAGUUGUCUAUAGUAGUGAAAUAGAGACAAUAAUUAUUAAUUUAAAUUCUUUAAUAAAAUAAAAAAAUAAUAUUUAAUAUAUAAAAAUAAAAAAUUAGUUUUUGAUAUUAAGAAUUAAUAUUUAUUCAAAUCUUUUCUUUUUAAAUUAAUUUAAAUAAGAAAUACAGUCGAUAUACUCAUAAUCUUUUUAAAGUAUAAAACAUAAUAAAUCACAUGUUAUAUAUAUAUAUAUAUAUAUAUAUAUAUAUAUAUAUAUAUAUAUAUUAGGAGCCCAAGGGAGCAAGCCUCCGGCGGCAUUGGGUCCAUUUGGCAGCGUUCUG